rnacentral:rRNA from 1 species
AACGAACGCUGGCGGCAGGCUUAACACAUGCAAGUCGAGCGCCUUGGCAGCAAGGAGCGGCAGACGGGUGAGUAACGCGUGGGAAUCUACCCAUCCCUACGGAACAACUCCGGGAAACUGGAGCUAAUACCGUAUACGCCCUUCGGGGAAAGAUUUAUCGGGGUACGAUGAGCCCGCGUUGGAUUAGCUAGUUGGUGGGG